UGGCGGCAGGCCUAACACAUGCAAGUCGAGCGGCAGCGCGGGGGCAACCCUGGCGGCGAGCGGCGGACGGGUGAGGAACACAUCGGAAUCUACCUUGUCGUGGGGGAUAACGUAGGGAAACUUACGCUAAUACCGCAUACGACCUACGGGUGAAAGCGGCGGACCGCAAGGCGUCGCGCGAUUGGAUGAGCCGAUGUCCGAUUAGCUAGUUGGCGGGGUAAAGGCCCACCAAGGCGACGAUCGGUAGCUGGUCUGAGAGGACGACCAGCCACACUGGAACUGAGACACGGUCCAGACUCCUACGGGAGGCAGCAGUGGGGAAUAUUGGACAAUGGGNGCAAGCCUGAUCCAGCCAUGCCGCGUGGGUGAAGAAGGCCUUCGGGUUGUAAAGCCC
rnacentral:rRNA from 1 species